rnacentral:rRNA from 1 species
CCAGGGUAACAGGUCUUCGGAUGCUGACGAGUGGCGAACGGGUGARUAAUACAUCGGAACGUGCCUAGUAGUGGGGGAUAACUACUCGAAAGAGUGGCUAAUACCGCRUGAGAUCUACGGAUGAAAGCAGGGGACCUUCGGGCCUUGUGCUACUAGAGCGGCUGAUGGCAGAUUAKGUAGUUGGUGGGGUAAAGGCUUACCAAGCCUGCGAUCUGUAGCUGGUCUGAGAGGACGACCAGCCACACUGGGACUGAGACACGGCCCAGACUCCUACGGGAGGCAGCAGUGGGGAAUUUUGGACAAUGGGCGAAAGCCUGAUCCAGCAAUGCCGCGUGCAGGAUGAAGGCCCUCGGGUUGUAAACUGCUUUUGUACGGAACGAAAAGCUCUGGGCUAAUACCCCGGAGUCAUGACGGUACCGUAAGAAUAAGCACCGGCUAACUACGUGCCAGCAGCCGCGGUAAUACGUARGGUGCAAGCGUUAAUCGGAAUUACUGGGCGUAAAGCGUGCGCAGGCGGUUUUGUAAGACAGUGGUGAAGUCCCCGGGCUCWACCUGGGAACUGCYGUUGUGACUGCWAKGCUGSAGUGCGGCAGAGGGGGAUGGAAUUCCGCGUGUAG